AAUGAACGUUGGCGGCAUGGAUUAGGCAUGCAAGUCGAGCGAGAAGUGUAGCAAUACACGGAAAGCGGCGGAAGGGAGAGUAAUACGUGGGAAUCUGCCCUUAGACCUGGGAUAGCAGCGGGAAACUGCUGGUAAUACCAGAUAAUGUCUAUGGACCAAAGGUGUGAUUCCGUCUAGGGAUGAGCCCACGUCCUAUUAGCUAGUUGGUAGGGUAAUGGCCUACCAAGGCGAUGAUGGGUAGCGGGUGUGAGAGCAUGACCCGCCUCACUGGGACUGAGACGCUGCCCAGACACCUACGGGGAGCUGCAGUAGAGAAUCUUCGGCAAUGGGCGCAAGCCUGACCGAGCGAUGCCGCGUGCGGGAUGAAGGCCUUCGGGUUGUAAACCGCUGUCGAGGGGGAGCAACUUCCAUAGAGUUAUCUUUAUGGAUUGAGUGAUCCCUGGAGGAAGGACGGGCUAAGUUCGUGCCAGCAGCCGCAGUAACAC
rnacentral:rRNA from 1 species